rnacentral:tRNA from 1 species
GCUCGAGUGGCGGAAUUGGUAGACGCGCUGGAUUCAAAAUCCAGUGACUUAGGUCGUGCGGGUUCGAUUCCCGCCUCGAGUACAA